CUUGACUGUGGAUUACUUCCUGAACCAGCGGAAUUCGUGGAUUUAAUAUUGGCGUUCCGCUACACUCACGUUUCUUUAGAUUACUUGCUGACCGUCCUCGGCGUUCAAGGAUGUCUUUAAGGGUAGCACGCCUUAAUUCCUCAUACUGCAUUUCCUCCACCAAACUGGGAUGUGUAGCUGACCUUCUGUGCUGUGGGAUUCAUCCCGUCGCUUGCUACCAAUUGUUAAGACACCCCUUUGUCUUUAAGGGAAACCGCCGCUUAGUUAACCUUCCCCCUUCGCAAUAUCAAUGACUUCGUUCGCAUAGACUGCGGUAUACGAACCACCAUCAGGGGAAGCGGUAAUCUCCUGAACGGGAUCCGUAAGAGGCUCCAAACUCCCGAACAGAAAUCCACAAAUCGCUGCUAGCCGCCG